rnacentral:rRNA from 1 species
AUUGAACGCUGGCGGCAGGCCUAACACAUGCAAGUCGAGCGGAUGAAGGGAGCUUGCUCCUGGAUUCAGCGGCGGACGGGUGAGUAAUGCCUAGGAAUCUGCCUGGUAGUGGGGGAUAACGUCCGGAAACGGGCGCUAAUACCGCAUACGUCCUGAGGGAGAAAGUGGGGGAUCUUCGGACCUCACGCUAUCAGAUGAGCCUAGGUCGGAUUAGCUAGUUGGUGGGGUAAAGGCCUACCAAGGCGACGAUCCGUAACUGGUCUGAGAGGAUGGUCAGUCACACUGGAACUGAGAUACGGUCCAGGCUCCUACGGGAGGCAGCAGUGGGGAAUAUUGGACAAUGGGCGAAAGCCUGAUCCAGCCAUGCCGCGUGUGUGAAGAAGGUCUUCGGAUUGUAAAGCACUUUAAGUUGGGAGGAAGGGCAGUAAGUUAAUACCUUGCUGUUUUGACGUUACCAACAGAAUAAGCACCGGCUAACUUCGUG